GGAGGAGCCGGAGCCGCCGCCGCCGCCGCCGCCGCCGCGGGCUUCGUUCGUAAGGAAGGGGGCCUAGGCCCGGGCCUGCGGUGGUGGGGGUUGCUGCGCGCCGGGGGUCGCUCCUGCUGUGUCUUCCGCUCCAGCUUCGCCCACUUCCCCUUGCCAGCGGGGUGGGCGCGGAGAAGACCUGCCGGAGCCAUGGAGGACGAAGUGGUCCGCUUUGCCAAGAAGAUGGACAAGAUGGUGCAGAAGAAGAACGCGGCUGGAGCAUUGGAUUUGCUAAAGGAGCUUAAGAAUAUUCCUAUGACCCUGGAAUUACUGCAGUGUGCAGCUGACCCCUAAGGCUGCUUAAUGCACUCUCCACCUUUCCAAGUCCACAAGAAUCGGAAUGUCAGUUAAUGCUAUUCGCAAGCAGAGUACAGAUGAGGAAGUUACAUCUUUGGCAAAGUCUCUCAUCAAAUCCUGGAAAAAAUUAUUAGAUGGGCCAUCAACUGAGAAAGACCUUGACGAAAAGAAGAAAGAACCUGCAAUUACAUCGCAGAACAGCCCUGAGGCAAGAGAAGAAAGGUACUUCACAG
rnacentral:lncRNA from 1 species